CUCCGUGCCAGCAGCCGCGGUAAUACGGAGGAUGCGAGCGUUAUCCGGAAUCAUUGGGUUUAAAGGGUCCGUAGGCGGGCUAAUAAGUCAGGGGUGAAAGUUUGUCGCUCAACGAUAAAAUUGCCGUUGAAACUGGUGGUCUUGAGUAUGGAUGAAGUAGGCGGAAUGCGUGGUGUAGCGGUGAAAUGCAUAGAGAUCACGCAGAACUCCGAUUGCGAAGGCAGCUUACUAAGGCAUAACUGACACUGAAGCACGAAAGCGUGGGUAUCAAACAGGAUUAGAUACCCUGGUAGUCCACGCAGUAAACGAUGAUUACUAGGAGUUUGCGAUAUAGUGUAAGCUCUACAGCGAAAGCGUUAAGUAAUCCACCUGAGGAGUACGCCGGCAACGGUGAAACUCAAAGGAAUUGACGGGGGCCCGCACAAG
rnacentral:rRNA from 1 species